UCAGGCCUAACACAUGCAAGUCGUACGGGAAUUUUUAAUUCAAGUGGCGGACGGGUGAGUAACACGUAAGAAUUUGCCUUUAGGAGGGGGACAACAACUGGAAACGGUUGCUAAUACCCCAUAUGCUUUCGAGUGAAAUGGAUUUUUCCGCCUAAAGAGAAGCUUGCGGCUGAUUAGCUUGUUGGUGAGGUAAUGGCUCACCAAGGCGACGAUCAGUAUCUGGUUUGAGAGGAUGAUCAGACACACUGGAACUGAGACACGGUCCAGACUCCUACGGGAGGCAGCAGUGGGGAAUUUUCCGCAAUGGGCGAAAGCCUGACGGAGCAAUCUCGCGUGAGGGAUGACAACGUAUGGGUUGUAAACCUCUUUUUUCAGGGAGGAACAAAAUGAC
rnacentral:rRNA from 1 species